UAGCAUGGAAUAAUGGAAUAGGACGUGUGGUUCUAUUUUGUUGGUUUCUAGGACCGCCGUAAUGAUUAAUAGGGACAGUCGGGGGCAUCAGUAUUCAAUUGUCAGAGGUGAAAUUCUUGGAUUUAUUGAAGACUAACUACUGCGAAAGCAUUUGCCAAGGAUGUUUUCAUUUAUCAGGAACGAAAGUUAGGGGAUCGAAGACGAUCAGAUACCGUCGUAGUCUUAACCAUAAACUAUGCCGACUAGGGAUCGGACGAUGUUAUUUUUUGACUCGUUCGGCACCUUACGAGAAAUCAAAGUGCUUGGGCUCCAGGGGGAGUAUGGUCGCAAGGCUGAAACUUAAAGAAAUUGACGGAAGGGCACCACCAGGGGUGGAGCCUGCGGCUUAAUUUGACUCAACACGGGGAAACUCACCAGGUCCAGA
rnacentral:rRNA from 1 species